UGUGUGUGUGUGCAUGUGCAUUCCCACCUCAUGCCCAAUGUUCUCAGGAUAGGGCAGGAUAGGGUUCUCAGGUGAACUUACUAUAGAACUUGAAUGUUUUCCACCAGCAUGCACUUAAAAAUACUACUCUUUUCUUUCCUACAGCAAAUUCGAACUUCCAGGUAUCAUAUUAAGUUUCUGAGUUGUACCAUUUCUUUCUGCACCAAGAUCUUUCCUGCAUGUGAGCCAUUUCCCUGCAGGACCUAAUCCCCCACCCGUGCAGUCUUAUCACUGUGACAACAUGGCGUGCCCCGAAGUUAACAUUUGGAUAACAGAUGUGUGUGCCCAUUUCUAUUUCCUUUCUUAGUGACAGGAAAUCUCGCUGGCGAUUUCUCACAUCUCACGGGUGAUGCUGAGCGAACGCCGGCUUCCUCAUUCCGUUCUCCUCUCAGGCAUGGACGUGCCCCCUGUCACGUUUUGCUAACCGAAUGCAUGGUGAAGAGCUGGGAACGUGGGCUUGAUGGCAGUGGAUAUUGCCUGCUGUUGGGUGUGUCGAGUCAGCUAUGUGUGCUGCGAUGCUGAGAUGGAGGCUCAGGGAAGCUGUGUGUGUGUGUGUGUGUGUGUGUGUGUGUGUGUGUGUGUGUGUGUGUGUGUGUGUGUAGAGCAUCACGAGAACUUUCCAUACACGCCGACACUUAUUUCAAUGUGAGGGGACACUGUGAGGCACAUCUGUCUCUGAAAUACUCUUACUAUCACUCAGUGGUGGUUUACACACAUAUAGCUACAGCAUUCAUGGAUAAAGCUAAGCUUUACAGCAUUCUGCAGAUUUUAUAACGAAGCAGGCCACAGUAAAUCUCCAGCUAAUAAACAAGGGAUUCUUCUGUAACUGCAACAGAGAAUUAACAGCGACUGUAACAUAAGCUCACCUGACCUGAUCGUCAGCCUGUUUUAAUGCAAUGGAAAUGUCACUGAUACAUUAUGCAUGUGUUUAUAUUAUUUAUUAUUAGGUUUUAAAACCUAUAUUUUAGGUAUGGAUACAUCAUUUGUACGGGACACAAUAUGGGAAGGUGUCAUAGCAUGGGAGAUUCCACAGUUGGGGUGCCACUCGUGUCCAGCUGAUAUAUAAAUAUGCAUGUAAGGUAAAGUUGUUUUUCAGAAAAAUCCUCCAGGUCCUGCACAUUAUUUGGUUUUCCAGCAUCUUCGGCAUAUUUGACCCCUUUCCAACAGCGGCUAUAUGAUGCUGAGAUCCGUCUUUUCACAACGAGGACAGUUGAGAGACUCGUACAUAAUUAUUACAAAAGGACGAAAAAGACAGUAUGUCAUGCUGCAGAUGAACCGGAAACUGGAGACUCCAUCUAUAAAUGUUACAUAAACGGCUCCUUACAGAAAACUGUGGUAUAAAAGAAUGCUGAAUGCAGAUGUGUGUAUAUAUGUGUGUGUGUGUGUGUGUGUGUGGGUAUGUGUGUGUGUGUAUGUGCAGGUGGUGUAAAUGAUGCGCUUGGUGUUUAGCACUCUAUACACACCACAGAAACAUUCUUCUCCCUCACCCUCUCCUCUCGCUGCUUCCAGCCAUGUACAGAUGGGUCUUUGACAGGUCUACAGCUGUUCCCCUAAUUGUUCAUUAAGUGUUCUAUUGA